AGCUACGUGACGCUUCGUAUGUUUUACAUCAAUGGACUCCAUACAGUCCCAUCCAGAGAAGAAAAGGCUGUCAUGGGAUUGCUUCAGAAAUUGGUCUGCGCUCACCACAAAUUAGCUCUGCUGCACCCUCUAUGAUGUUAACUGGUGAACAUCCUGAUAAACUGAAG